rnacentral:lncRNA from 1 species
CCAACUGACUUCAAUUAUAUGUAGAACCAUCCAAAAGUCUCCUCUCAGGCAUUAAGGAACAUGAACGCUUUUAAGGGAUUUCCAAACUGGAAAUAACCAACACAACUAGGUCAAGCAUCCAUCAUGCACCAUGUACACCACAGUGCACCACAGCUGAGACCAGUGUGGAUCCCACCAUCAGCAGCUUUUCCAAAGGACCCAGGCAAAAUGUUUCUUUUUGAGGCAGAGAAUUCUUCUAAAUGAUUGUUGGAACUUAGAAUUACUCAAGAUUAUUAUAACCGAGUGGCCAGAGGGAUAUGCUGCCAUUAUGUCCUUCAGCAUAAAGAACUGGUGACUUCUGUAAGUGUGGUGUUUCUGAGGGCAUCCUCUUCCACAUUUUUAGCGUAAUCUACCUCGACACACAGAUGCAAUGCUCACAGAGGCCAGAACGCUUCCCAGAAGCAGCCAAGAGUGAGCACUUUCUCAUGGUGUAAAAUAUUCUACCAAAACCUUAUUUCCAAUAGGAGGGUCCAGAUAAUCAAAGCUUCGGAUCUCCUAAAACCUGGCUUUGCCUCUUACUUGAGAACUUUGCAAAGAAGAAUGCUAGCCAGUGAAUGUUCAGAGAGGAAGGAAGAAGAAGCUGUCCAAUGACCUUUUUUCUUAUGGCUUUCUAACUUGAUUCUUGACACUGUCACCAAGGUCAGCCUGCAGGAGAAUAGGUUUCUUUCUCUUUAUUUAAGUUUCUACAUCUCCCCUACAGAAGUGCAUCAAAAUUGUUUCAAUCAGUUAUCUUUAU